UACAGAGGCCCCAAGCGUUACUGAGAAUCACUGGGUUUAAAGGGUGCGUAGGUGGCGCGUUAAGUCCGUUGUGAAAUCCCUUGGCUCAACCAAGGAAAUGCUUCGGAUACUGGCGUGCUUGAGGCUAGUAGGGGUCACUGGAACUGACGGUGGAGCGGUGAAAUGCGUAGAUAUCGUCAGGAACGCCGAUGGUGAAGACAGGUGACUGGGCUAGUUCUGACACUGAGGCACGAAAGCGUGGGGAGCGAACAGG
rnacentral:rRNA from 1 species